GAUGAACGCUAGCGGCAGGCUUAAUACAUGCAAGUCGUGGGGCAGCAGGUCUGUAGCAAUACAGAUGCUGGCGACCGGCAAACGGGUGCGGAACACGUACACAACUUUCCUUUAAGUGGGGAAUAGCCCAGAGAAAUUUGGAUUAAUACCCCGUAACAUAGUGAAAAGGCAUCUUUUUAUUAUUAUAGCAGCAAUGCGCUUAAUGAUGGGUGUGCAUCUGAUUAGGUAGUUGGCGGAGUAAUAGCCCACCAAGCCUACGAUCAGUAACUGGUGUGAGAGCACGACCAGUCAAACGGGCACUGAGACACGGGCCCGACUCCUACGGGAGGCAGCAGUAAGGAAUAUUGGGCAAUGGACGCAAGACUGACCCAGCCAUGCCGCGUGGAGGAUGAAGGUCCUCUGGAUUGUAAACUUCUUUUAUCUGGGAAGAAAUCCAUCUUUUCUUGGGUGGUUGACGGUACCAGAUGAAUAAGCACCGGCUAACUCCGUGCCAGCAGCCGCAGUAACAC
rnacentral:rRNA from 1 species